AACGAACGCUGGCGGCAUGCCUAACACAUGCAAGUCGAACGAGACCUUCGGGCCUAGUGGCGCACGGGUGCGUACCGCGUGGGAACCUGCCCUUAGGUUCGGAAUAACUCCCCGAAAGGGGUGCUAAUACCGGUUAAUGUCUUCGGACCAAAGAUUUAUCGCCUUUGGAUGGGCCCGCGUUGGAUUCGCUGGUUGGUAGGGUAAAAGCCUACCAAGGCGACGAUCCAUAGCUGGUCUGAGAGGAUGAUCAGCCACACUGGGACUGCGGCACGGCCCAGACUCCUACGGGAGGCAGCAGUGGGGAAUAUUGGACAAUGGGCGAAAGCCUGAUCCAGCAAUGCCGCGUAAGUGAUGAAGGCCUUAGGGUUGUAAAGCUCUUUUACCCGGGAUGAUAAUGACAGUACCGGGAGAAUAAGCACCGGCUAACUCCGUG
rnacentral:rRNA from 1 species